rnacentral:lncRNA from 1 species
CUGAUAACUGGAAGAGAUAAAAAGUCAACAAGAAAAAUUAAGGAGCUAAAGAAAAACGGAAAAGCAGCGUUCGUGAAUGUUAAAUUAUUGGAGAUUUGAUACUCACGGUGAUUUUGGAUGUGUUUGUGAAAUUCGGGUCAUCCCUAAAAUUAUGCAAUGAAAGAACCAGAAAUUAAAUUUCCCCUAAAUAUCAAGUUGCACUUGUGUAGAAACAUUGCAGAUAUAAUAAGUAAUUUCGAAGGUUAAUCUAUAGUAGCUUAACUGGAAAAGGUAAACCUCAGAGUUAUUAUCUGGUGGCAGUGCAAUAUAAUGAACAUUUUACCCUAGCUUUCUACUACUUCAAAACCCUUGCAAUUUUUCUUUCAUUUGUUUUUUUUUUACCAUGAACAGAUGUUCUUACAUUGUUCACACUAACCAAAGAACUAAGAGAACUAUCUACCUAAGACUUACUAUAAAUAAAUAGAAAUUUCUAUUAAAUAGAAAUAUCUGGGGAAACAAAAGCACAAUCUCCUAUUCAUGUUAACUAACUAAAUAACUAGAAAAAAAAACAUGAAAAUAUUUUGAUUAAACCAUGCACUCAUUGAACAAAAACCAAAAAGGAUACACACAUAAAUGCUAAGAUGGACACCAAUUUCUUCAGGUUCAAAAGAAACUCAUGGAAUUGUGAAAAAAUCUACAUUCUGAAAGUUGUGGUUCUACCUGAAUAAAACUUUGUAGUUGACACACUUCAGCAAGAAUGAUGAAAAUCCUACUAUAAAUGCAAACUGGAGAAGUUCAAAGGACUCCUGCAGCAUCAUACAUAGAAAACCAUGUUGCUGAUGGUAAUAAUAGACACGAGAAAAAAAGGCAUCCAGGUCUUCAAUAUGGUUCCAUCUAGCUGAAAUAACAAGUCAGUAAAUAAUGCCUCAUAUUUGAGACAAAUUAAAGCCAUGCCUUACACUUAUUUUCAGGAACAAUAUGUAUCAACACACUUUCAUUACUGUUAUCUUCAUCUCCUUCGAGAAACUGAUGACGCUUCCCAGCAGAAUUUUUCAUUCUACGAUCUCUUUUAUUGGAAGAGCUUCAUACAACGGAAGUUGAUUGAAUUACUCACAAUAAACACCAAGCACUGUGAGUGAACUUUAGCGAAAUACUACAAAAUAAAAGCUUUUCAAUCCUGGUACGCCAGAAAGCAAAUAAAGGUAAACAAGGACUUUCGGACUAGAAAUACGUCGUCCGUUUCAGCGGAACAGCCUAUAAAUUGUGAAUGGAAUGCGGAACGUGUAAAUGGUGGAUAUUUUCGCCUGAUGGGAGGAGUCAUUGUCAUUCAGUCAUACGUAGAUCUUAGAAAUCGCCAUCGGUCGAUAAUUCCAGUGGGGUUUCAGUUUCAGUUCAGUCUGUCGACGAUGUGGUUCUCCCUAGUAUAUCGUGGAAAACACUGUGGAAUAGCCUAAUCCCUCCCCAACAGAGGCAGAACCUAAUGGGUUUCUCAACGAUUCAUUAUCAGCAAACGAAUGUAAUAUCGAUAGGUAAAUCGUGUUUUUCCUUUCCAGACCGCUUGCAUCAGCAGAUAACGCUGAUAACACAACACAAAACUCCAUCCAAAAACGGACACUGCUCCGAUUUCAACUAGUUCUAAAAAAACUGAACUAUCUUGCGUCAACAUUGUUGACCAAUAAAAUGUAGUUUGCAGUCGAGCUGCUUGUCUUUAUCCAUGUAGAUGUUGCUGACAUAUGCGUCAGACUCAGACCGAUGAAGUGUAAGGAUUCCUAAGUAUUGCUAUUCUUAUAUUCUAUUCCUGUUAUCCUAGGCUUAAGGGUCAGGAAAAGAGUAAAACAUAACUGGCAUUUCAAUUAAAUUUACAAAUAAACAUUUGUUCGAAUUGGGGACACUUUUUCUAAAAAUAAGUCAUUGCUAUUUGGUAAUUCAGCGUGACGUUACGCUAAGUUGUCGUUACAAAAUCAUAGAAACCUUGUAUCUUGCAAAACUACAAGAUAAUUAUUGAAAUUUAAAAGAAAUUGGUCUGAAAAAAGUUCGCUGAUAAGACCUAUACCUAUAAGAUAUACCUACUUCAUUCUCAAUUCCUAAUGUCUUCUCCCGUUGAUAACGUUGAAAGAACGCACAAAAACAAAAAUCAUUUAGACCUAAGCACAAAACAUUCCGUCCAGUUGACCACGAAAGACAUCCGCCGCCGUAAUAGCUCCUGUUGCUUCAAAAAAUGCGGUGAGUUUUCGGAUACUGAUUACGCCUGUUGCCGUGUGUUAUAGCCGGCUUAUACAAUUCUGCUGCUAAUUGUGUAAAGCAUUGAUCGGUAGGAAUGAAUUUUCAAAAAAAUAAAUAGUUUACACGUGUUUGGAACAUUCGAGAUGAAAAGUUUGCAUUUCCAGCGACGAAAUUUAGGAAUUCCUUUGAAUUCCCUAAUACAACAAAUUGUAAAUCUUUUUCAGUCAACCUUUUUUAUACUACACUUUUUGGAGCAGUGUGAACAGAAAACUGUGCGGAAUUUGUCAAUGGAAGGAGUACUUAAAAAGGAAACAAUGAAUAACUCUAAUUUAACGUAUAAUGCCAUCCACACAUAAGAAAAAAUGUGAAUUACGCUGCUGAUUCGCUUUGAGAAGUUUAUGUUGAAUCUUGACGGUCGUCUUCGUCAUCACACAACGCCCGAAAAGGAUCAGAAAUUAAAGGGCUUUCAGAUAUCGAAUAAUAAUUCCCAUUAUAAAGAACACCUAGGUCACGCAGAAUUUCGCCUCGUAUGGUAGCGUUGAUAAUCCAUCUAAAACAUCGCACAUCCUCACGCUCUCUCUCCAGUCGCUGCACGUCGAUGAUUUUUGACUUCAGCCUUUCAAGAAUGACUCCGAGAUCAAAAAUCGUCAAGUGUUUGUGUCUGUCACUUCCAAGCUGGUCUAUGAGAAGAAGAAUUUUUUCGGUGGUUACACUAGUUUCGAUUUCAAAUUCAUCGUCAAUGGCGUUCGAGGCAUGGUCCAUUCCUGGUACCGUAUUCUCUUGGUUAGAUGUGCAUAACGGGAGGCUGGGACGGCUAUCCGUUUCGUGGUUGGAACUGGCUGCCUCUGUGCGAUCUUCACAGAAAUGAACGUGAGUUGAUUUUAAUACUUUACUCAUUGAGUGAGCUCGAUGGCGAUUACAUUCGGCACUUUGAAUGGGGCGGCCUCGGUCGUGUAACGAUCCACAGUGAAAUUCACACUUGUUCAAGCCAUGUUGAAAAGCUGAAGAAAAAUUGGGACGCUGUGGUUCGUUGUUUGAACCAGAAAAUGGAAUAUGAACACCGCCAUGUGGUUCAUGCGCUGGUAAAUUGGAAUUCGGCUUUGCACUGCUGUCUCGAAGAGUUGACUUGAAAACCGUGCUUGUAUUGGCAGUGGGAACGGCUUUUUUAACACUUUGCUGACUCUCGACGAUUUCCUUGUCGUUGACUUCAAUAACCCCAUCUUUUGGUUUCUUCCCAAUUCCAGCCCAAGGAUAGCCAGUGAAGCUGGGAGGCUUGUUGUGGUCAAAUUUCUCAAUGCCAGAUCCUGGUGAAUGAUUGGGCUUGACGUACUGUAGAGUUCGGUUAUUGCGUUGCUGUUUCCAAUGAAGGACUAGUGUUAUUUUGUCUUGAUUGUCGACUAUUUUCCAAAAAGGGUGGUCAUGAUUAAGAUUUAGCGUACUAAGGGCAUCACAAACUACACGUGGAAGGGGAAAAGAUUUAAGAGAACCGUCACAAUUCUGGUCCUGCGAAGCACAACAACUAUGCUGAACGGGCAUUUUCCACGAUUCACCCGCACGUAGUAGAAGAAAUGCCGUGUUAUCGGGAAACCAUCUUAAAAAUUCGUCAUCAUCUACGUAUGUUCCGUCUGACUCCAAAACCAAAUAGACACUUUCGUCCUUGCUGUACUCAAUCUUCUCGCGGCCUAUUGAAAAAAAAAAACAAAAAAAAAAUGCAUUACACAAAAAAAUGUAGCAAAAAUAAGGAAAUGUUUGAAGAAUUAAAUGGUUUAAACCUUUUCUGUGUAACUCUUCAAGUGACGAAGCCAAGACUAGCCGCUUUUUCAAUCGUGAAGCAUCCCAUAUUUUCCAUGGUCGCCGCUCCCGGGAUUCCUUUCAAAUAUUAAUUCGACAAGAAAAAUCAUACACUUUCGUGUAAUCGGAAAUAGCAUUAAACAUUUUUCUUAACGGGACUUUAGCUUCAUCAUUUUUCUUCCUCUGUUGAAUGAAAUUGCCUAGGUUUCCGUCAAAGCCGCGUUCCCUCUCGUUUUGUUUUCUAUCGAUCCUUGCAGUCCGCUCUUACGGGUCAAGUUCAAGUGGUGCUUACGAAAUGUUUACCCAAACUAUAGGGAUCCCUAAGCGGAGCCCCUAUUGUGGGUGUGUAAACCGUUAUCUUAUUUUUUUCUCUCUUUUUUUCAAAUCGAAAUAGUUCCAACCGUCAUUAAGCUAUUAAUUUGUCACGAAUGAAAAAUAGCAUAUUAAUUCAUUUAACAGGAAUUAACGGAGGGAUCUUUUUUUUGAAAAUGCAUACUUUAAGUUGAUUAGGGCUCACUAAACUACCGGUUUGCAUUUUGCUUUCUUAAAUGUUGGACUUUGAAUAAAAUGUGAAUCCCUUGGAAAAAUAGAUUCCAUUAGCAUUUUUGAGCAUUCAACUUUACAGCUUAUAGGCUACAUCUUGUGAUAACAGUAGGUCUAACCGCGGUAAUGAUAGAUAGCAAAAUGAUUCAGUGUAAACUAGAAAUAAGGAAUCUUUACGAAUUCAAAGUUACAUACGUCUCUCGGCAUCACGGCACCACGUCUUCUUUCAGCAUGUUGCUCAAUAUUUACUCAACUUCAGAAAUCCGGGUAAGUAUAUACUUGAAGAGCACUAGGCGAGUUUUGGAAGACAGUGUCUUACUAAUCAAUUGCACAGCAAUUCACUGAGCUUACGCGUAUUGUACGAGAUAUUCGGUGACUGGUGAAGACGCCAUUUUUCGUGCAACCGAGAAGGACUUGGCAGGAAGAUCCCAACUGAAUGCGCAGACGCACAUUUCUUUCACUCUGCAACUUAGGCAGUUUGGCCACCAUUCUAAACGAGGUAUCAAUUUGUGAGCCAAGUAUCAAGCUAAGAAAAUUGAUUUUGGCGGAAAAUUCGAGUGCUUCUCGGUUAUCUUUGUUUUCAAGAUUGCGAAGCGCUAAGUAUUAUACGAUGUAAAAUCAUUUCUGUAAUACAUUUCUCAUGAAAAUUAGCUUCAGCGAAACACGCGCAAAUUCAGAAUGGGAACUGUUAACAGUAUUUAUUUAUUUUAAUUUUUUUCGCCGCGUAAAUUUCUAACUUUUAAACAAUAAAAAUGUAUUUCUUUUACCAGACUUUAUUAUUUAAUAAGUAUUGUGUUUUAUAUUUUUCUAUUUUUUAUUGCCCGAACGUAUGUGAGAUCUUUACCUGAAAGAACCUUAGAUUAUUUCAUAUAGUAUUACGUGAUAUAUUAUAUAUUAUACUUGUUGUCAUCUUUAUUGGAAUUUUCUGCUAACCGUUCACCACAAUUGGGCUAUUUGAUUUAUCAACUCUUUCCAAAUAAAGACAGGAGAUUUUUUCUUGUAUUCGAUUGGCCAUGAACUUCCUGUAUGAGUUUGAUCAUGUGUUUGAUAACUCACAAACUUACAAGGAAAGCGACCACGUACAGUAUUCUCAGUUGUUUUUGUCGGUUUAGCUUUAUGCUAUUGCGUCAACAUGUAUUGACGUGUGGCGCGUUUAGUUCUUCUAGCUCUUCCCCAAGUUCGCCUGAAACCCUGAAACAUUCAUCCACUAAGGUAGUGCAGUGCAGAUAAAUGUUUUUAUGGUGGGAGGAGUUACCGCAUCGGCAUGUUUCUUUUCGAGCUCCCGUGUUCUUUCGUCUGCCAGCGGUUGUUUAUUUCCUUUAGUUUAAGACCUUCUUGUUAUGGGAUUCUCUUAAACUUUGAAUAAAAUUUCAAAGAACUCAGCCUUAUGAAGAACAUCUUAGAGAUCUACAUUAUAAUAAUGUUGCAAGAAGUUCUGGUGCAGUUUGUCCUAUUGAAAAAAACUUUAAUUCAAAUAACUACUUAAACAAAAUAAGCAAAGAGAAAUUUAUUGUUUGUUUUAUUUUGAUUUUCCCAUCCAGUUUUUUUUUACUAUUCAAAGUAAGUUUUUUAGUUGAUAGUUGCUGUAACAACCAGUGUAGGUGUAAUAAAAAACCAAAGAAAGAACUGCCUUCAAUAGUUGAUUGAACCAAGUUAUUCCGGACAGCCAAAUUUCCUUUGUGUCCCUCAAUAGAAUGGCAAAAUCACAUGACAUGAAAACACUAUUCACUGUUUACUUUAUCCUUAUUUAUGAUUAUUGUCCAUUGACUUUUGGGUAAUACCAACCUAAGUAAGUAACUAUUAUUACUAUACAUACAAGAUCUUUCAACGUUUUGUAAACACAUAAAAGCAGAUUAAACCUACAGUCAGUCUCUGUGCAAAGAGAUACCACAUACCAAUCACAAAAGCAUAUGGUGUGCAGAUAUUGGGUGAAAUUGGCGAAAUCCUGGCACACAUAACUUACGAAUCAGUCCGUUUUGGUGCAACAUGUACACCUAGUCACCUACAACACCGACUUGUGUGAAGUGAAGUGCCUAAAGAAACUUGACUGGUGAUUCCACUAAAACUUCAGUUCGUGUUUCCUUUCGCAGAUGGCAGACGCUUGCAGACACUCGUGUACGGCGAUUGCAAUAGUAGAUCAUAGCUUAAUUCGGAAUCGUUGCCAUUCGUUCAUUAAAUUAGUCAUCGCUUGGGGCUUAUGUCUCUCGGGUGUGAGGAUGGGUGUGAAGCAACCAUAGAUUCUAUGGUAAUGGUUGCUUUUGAUGUUUAACGGUCUUAUCAUUGAAUGACAGACGACUGCAGGAUCCGUACUUUGCGCGGACGUUUGCAUACAGUUUUUGAUGGUGAAGCAAAAGACGGGAAAACCCCAUUUCUUCUUUAGUUUUUUUGUUUUUUUAUUUUAACGUUCACUAUAUGACUUAAUUUGCUGAAUUUUUUUACGUUUUUAUACACUACGGUUUUUUAAGUUUAAGUAAGAAUUUUCAAAUUUCCCAUUCAAAAUGCUUGCUUUAUAACCUGUAAGAUGGAAAGCUUUGAAACAUACUCGUCGGUUAUCUUUGAUAUGUACGUAAACACAACGAAUUCUUCACUUUUAAUGACAAAAUUUAAAUGGGACAUAUUCAUAGCCACGUAAAUUUAGCAGGGAAGGUAACCAUGGUUUUACACUUGUUUAAGUUUUUUUUCUUUCAUGCCUCAAAUUGUUUGGUUCACGUGUUUAAAAUGGAAACAGUGGCACAGUACCACGAAUUUUCUCUCCACUUUCGCAGUUCAAAUCCUUGUAGUUACUUGAACGCUGAAUGACAAAAUGUGAUCAGCCUCAUCAAAUAAAACAAAAAUAAAAAAUGGUCCCGUAAAGAAAUUUUGGCCGUGGGACACGACAAGGUUUUAUUUCUGUUACGAAUUGGAAAUAUUAUUUAAAGUUUCGCUUUUAGCAAAGAUAGAACGAUACAAAUCGUUUCAUUACCAAUGUGGUGAAAUACAACUAGUUUAUCUACAUUGAAUUCAAAGAAAUAAGAUAAAUUUACGCAUUGUGUAAUUGCGGAUCUCUAGAUAUUAUUUCUUUUGUGGGAAAAAACGACGUGGUUUCCAGAUUAUUUAUGUGCCGAUGUACGAUUGAUGUACCACUCUGGCAAACCGUAAUAGUAUGAUAAUUGCCUUUAUUUGCACGCCUACUAAACACGAAGCUUUACGUUUGUUUAUGUAGGCUACCUGUCUGUCGACGCUUUGUGCGCACGCUGUGAUUGGCUGAUAUAGAGGCAACAUUCUUGAAAAAAAAAAAAAAGUUCAAACUGUUGCCCGAUAAGUUUCACUGUUUCGCAAGGGCAAAAGGUCGGCAAUAUAAACUACGAUAAGCAAGAGCAGAUGAAUCCGCAAAUUAGGUCUAGCUAACCGCUUAUUAUUUAGGCGACCAUUGAUGACUAACAAACGUUUAUUGUCUCCUUAGUCAUCCUAUUUCUGGAUUUGAAUGGGUCAACGUGCUUGGAAAUGCUACAUUAUUUUAUUGUUUUUAAAAUCAAUUCAAGUAUUGAAAUUCGUCAUGCCUUUUUACAUUCAUUUCUUGAUAACUCGAAUGUCUUUUUCUUAAUUGGCAGUUCUGUUGUCAUUUCACUUUUCUGAAGCUUGCUAACCAGUCUUCUACGAACAAUGGAUCUCACUGCCAAUACAUGCACAGUAUACUAUACCUAUGCUAUUUCAGACGAACACAUGUUGAUUAUUGCCGAUUCCAUCAGGAUCUCACUUCCGAAUACGUCGGCAACCAUCAUUGACCUUGACAACAAAGUGAGAAUGUAUUCUAAUUACGCCCAUGUGAUCCUUUUUCUCCGUGCACAUGGAAAAGGAAUAGAAUUUGACCCAACAGGGUGUCCCACUGAAAUUGUUAUUGUACAAAUAUCUAUUUGAUGUUCACUUUAAAUCCGUUCAAUACGAUUUCAUUCACACAGGUUUCACACUGCUUCCCUACUGAAUUCAGUUUGCUUCAUUCCAUCGUGUCUAAACAUUGCCCGUUUUAAUCGAUAUUUUAAUCAAGUUCGCUAACAUAUCUUUACGAUGUACGGCAGCAUGAGUAAGGUAAAUUUUGUAUUCUAUCACCAGAAAUAUUGUAAACCACAGUCAUGUAUUCAGGCCAGUUACAUUUCGGUGGUUUAAAAUAAAUGUCGAUCCCAUCUU